rnacentral:rRNA from 1 species
CCAGACUCCUACGGGAGGCAGCAGUGGGGGAUAUUGCACAAUGGGGGGAACCCUGAUGCAGCGACGCCGCGUGGGUGAAGAAGUGUUUCGGUAUGUAAAGCCCUAUCGGCAGGGAAGAAAUUGGACGGUACCUGACUAAGAAGCCCCGGCUAACUACGUGCCAGCAGCCGCGGGAAUACGUAGGGGGCAAGCGUUAUCCGGAUUCACUGGGUGUAAAGGGAGCGUAGACGGCCAUGCAAGCCUGGAGUGAAAGCCCGGGGCCCAACCCCGGGACUGCUCUGGGAACUGUGCGGCUGGAGUGCGGGAGGGGCAGGCGGAAUUCCUGGUGUAGCGGUGAAAUGCGUAGAUAUCAGGAGGAACACCGGCGGCGAAGGCGGCCUGCUGGACCGCGACUGACGUUGAGGCUCGAAAGCGUGGGGAGCAAACAGGAUUAGAUACCCCAGUAUCC